rnacentral:lncRNA from 1 species
AUUAAGACGAUAGUAAGGUUACUCAAAGUACUAGGAGUUCGAUAUACUCCUAUUCCCGGUCUUCAGGCACAAUCUCUUUACCCUUGUUAGAGGGCUCACCAUCUAUACAUCAUACGUGACACGAAUUUCAAUAAAUUGUGUCAAUUUAUCAUGAACUAUUUCAGGCUUUAUAAAUCUAUAAGAAUGCACGAAAUGUGAUGCAAAAUGUCUGAAUAGCCGUUUAAAUACGAUAUUCGACCUAAUUCGCACUAUUCUCGAUGUCAUUGGCUAAAACCUCCAAUUUAACUCCAAAUCGAUUUCUUUCACUUCCUACACUCCAAUGAUACUUAAAAUAGCUCAAUGACUGUGAAUAUGAUUCAAUUUAUCAGUCCAAACCAUAAAUUGCACAUGUCUAUACAUUAGGUAAAAAUUCAGAUUUUCAUGCCAAAAUUUCCCAUUAAAUUUCUAGCCUCACCAAUCAUUAAAUACCACCAAAAUAUCAAGAAAUAUCAUCAAUUUCAGCCUCAAUAUCCUCCCUAGAAAAUUCGGCCUCUUGUGGGUUUGUGAAGAACAAGGUGAUUCCUUGCUAGAUUUUCAUACUUUCCAUUACCAAACAAUCAAAAACAUUUAAUUAGCUUGAAAUCUAGCAAAAUCAAUACUCAAAACCUCUCCUCUCAAAUUCGGCCAGCAUGGGUUCAUCAUGCAAACUUGAGCUCUAAGCAUGGAAAAUGAAAAAGAAAGCAUGGGUAGUGUAAAUCACAAGAUAAAAUCACAAAAUCUUACCUUUAUUAGCUUAAUCCCUUGAAAUCCCACACUUUUUCUUCAAUUUUCCCACCUAGGGUUUGUGUUCUUUCCUUUCCUCUUCACUUCAUGCUUUGGC